rnacentral:rRNA from 1 species
UACGUAGGGGGCAAGCGUUAUCCGCAAUUACUGGGUGUAAAGGGUGAGUAGGCGGCAUGGUAAGCCAGAUGUGAAAGCCUUGGGCUUAACCCGAGGAUUGCAUUUGGAACUAUCAAGCUAGAGUACAGGAGAGGAAAGCGGAAUUCCUAGUGUAGCGGUGAAAUGCGUAGAUAUUAGGAAGAACACCAGUGGCGAAGGCGGCUUUCUGGACUGAAACUGACGCUGAGGCACGAAAGCGUGGGGAGCGAACAGG